CCGGCUUCGCUUCCCCGGGGGCGUCGGGAGCGGCCGAACCACCCGGCCGGCGCCUGGCUUGCUGCUGCCUUGGGGCAGCUCCUCCGCCCGGCAGGAGCGGUGUGUCUUAAUUUUUUCUUCCCGGAGGAAUUAGAAGUAGCCCUUGCUGUUUGACGUAAGAAAUCCAGUUCUGAAGGCAGCGAGUGGAAUCUCGAGGACCGAAGGGAUGGCUUGCUGGUGCCGUUUUCUGAACCGCGCAAGCCGUCACGGGGACCGUCGCGCUGAUGUCGCUGCGCGGUUGUGCCGGCUGCCCGGCGUCGCGCUGUGGACGGGCGCUGCAGCCGUGUGCUCAAGCUGAGGCCCGCACGCCACGCCGGCUUCCCAGGGAGCUGCGUACGCCUGCCGAGGCUCGGAGGGACCUCGUUAGUAUGUGCCGCUCCACUGGCAGGCCAUGGUGGUUACUCCGAGUUAUCGCUCGGCUCAUCGAGUCUUCAAAGGGAUGACAGAUGGGAUAUCCAGAGAGACUUGGUUUUGCCGAUAAAUCAUUUUAAUCAGAAAACGCAUGUCCUAAUUCUGAAGAUAAAUUACCUUUUUUUCCUUUGGGGAAUCGGGCAAGUGUUGUAUGGUGACCCUGGCCAUGCCCUUUUUGGGUUGUAAACAGGGAUCCAAAAUGCUGGGUUCUGGCAGGGGCAGGACCCUGGGGUCUCGGCAGUCAUGCUCUCCUGCCAGGACAUAGCGCCAGUGCUGACCUCGAUUCCACCGAUAGGGAAGCGUGUCAGUAGGUUCCCCAGAGCGCAGCACACAAGCUGGGGUUAAAGGCUGUACCCUGCUGGGGUACUCCGCUCCCCAGUGACGGCUGUUUGUUAGGAGCAGCAUAAUAGCCCUGCAAUCAGUCAUUCUUUGUACGGGAACUUGCUUUAGGUAAAAUGGUCACACCUCUGUUUAACCUUGAUCCUGGCCGAUGCUGUCUCUAGCUUUCUCCCCAGGUAAUGAUAAAACCAGCAGCGAGGUUGCCCAGAACGCUGGUGCUUCUUUGACUGGCCGGCUUUCCCCAAGGAAGUGCUGAUGCUUUCUGCUGCUGGCUCAGCAGUGGAGUUCUCUGAAUCAAACAGCUUUUAUCUCCUUUUGUUGUUUUAGGCAGCAAGUGAAGUUAAGAGAUGAGUUUGUUACUGGCUUUGGGAAUCUUCAAUCUGGACUCUCCCACACUGUUACCAUGCAAGCAGAAAGAUGUCACGUGAAUUCUGGAGCUACAGAAGUGCAACUGAGAUCAAACUACCUUGUCCACUGUCUUCGAGGCUUGUGUAUGCACACACAGCCAACAGUAGACUCCAUCCACUUUGGGAAGUGUGGGUGUUUAAGAAGCUUGAAAACAGCAGCCUGAAAUGUGGAGUUCUAAUGCACUUGGAAAUGCUUUCAUGGCCCUUCCUGUUCCUCAAAAAUACUGCUUGAUUCAACAUGACUGUAGUUUUUGUUGAGGCUAUGUGAGCAGUAGGACCAUGAUCCUGCUGGAUGACAUCCUGGGUAGGAGUCACACCAAGCCUUUGGUAUUCAGCUUGUCCAGUGUUGACAGGAAGUCUGUACAAUUUUUCUGCUGCUUUUUUUUUUAAGAUGGACCUCUUGAAUAUAAAACUUGGGAGUUUUCAUCACUGAGGUCAAAUGGAAAUACAGGAUUUGGUGCUACGCAUAAUGCAGACUUGCCUAAGCAAAGAAGAAAUCAAGACUUAUGCUAAAAGACUUGAUAAACUUGCCAGGACUUUGAAGG